rnacentral:rRNA from 1 species
GUGAUUAUUGCGGUGGUGAACACCUCUUACCAUUUCGAACAGAGAAGUUAAGACCACUUGCGCAGAUGGUACUACAUUGUGGGAG